UUGUCCAGUGAAUUCUCUCUUGUAGGAGGGAACCACUGUCAGAACCAUGAGCUGUCUGCUUCUUGUGUACGUGCUUUGCAGACAUCCCUGCUCCUCAGUGCUACCUGAUUUUUCUCAACCUUCUGCUUGUGUCAGCAUUUAUUGACUUUUUUGGUAAAUGUGAGUAUUUCUCCAAAAGGAAUAGCUGGAUACUAAUCCUUUUCUCUUUUUUUCUUUCUGUUAUAAAAUUGCCCAUUUUUCUUCCUGGUGGCAAAGUUGAUCUGGCUGCCUACAACUGUCCUCAUUUUCAGGCUGCACAGAAUGGAUGGAAGACUAUGAAGGCUGUGUUAAGGGAUGGCUUGUGUUAGGGACAGUGCUGGCCCCGCCAUCAGUGUAUGUUCAAAAGUUUAAAAAAUUAAUUUCCAUCAGAAGAAAAUGUACUUGACAUCUGGGUCCCUAGAAGAAUAUGUCUUACAAAAACCUUGUUACUGCAGAACAUCCACUCUGUACCAUUCAGCCUGUGCUGAGGCCACUGCUGCACAUCUUGGGCUCAGCCUUUACCUCCUGCACAUCCUGGGCUCAGCUUCACCAGCUCCCUGCCACCUGUGCCAGAGCCACCCUCUGCAUGGGCUGUUGCUGCCAUUUUCCAGUGCUGUCACAUUCUCCCCCAUCCGCCAGCUGCCUUCUCUAGCAUUGCUGCCAACACUGUGUUAGCAUCAACGUUACUGCCAUUCUCUCCUCCUACAGAGGGGCCUCUCUUCUUCUCCUGACUUUGACAGAAAGGCAAA
rnacentral:lncRNA from 1 species